rnacentral:rRNA from 11 species
UCUGAGGGUCUAAAUACCCUAAAGACACCAGAUUCUAUCUGAUCUUGGAAGCCAAGCAGGGUCAGCCCUGAUUACUACUUGGCCACGAUACGGCUAAGGAAUAUCAGAUACUGUAGGCC